AACAUUUAAUUAGUUGUUUGUAUUCAUCAUAGAAUAAUAACAGUUGAAUUUUACUGAAGCUAAAUCAUUCUGUAAUGAAUAUAAGCAACAAAUGUAAUG
rnacentral:precursor_RNA from 1 species